UACGGAGGGCGCGAGCGUUAAUCGGAAUUACUGGGCGUAAAGCGCGCGUAGGCUGUUGUGUAAGUCAGCGGUGAAAUGCCCCCGCUCAACGGGGUGAAGUGCCAUUGAUACUGCCUUGCUGGAAUGCGGAUGCCGUGGGAGGAAUGUGUGGUGUAGCGGUGAAAUGCAUAGAUAUCACACAGAACACCGAUUGCGAAGGCAUCUCACGAAUCCGCGAUUGACGCUGAUGCACGAAAGCGUGGGUAUCAAACAGG
rnacentral:rRNA from 1 species